rnacentral:ncRNA from 1 species
CUAGGGAGAUCCGUUCUGGGCCCCUCUCUACGUCGUGGCAACAUCCUCAAAUUGUUCGGGAAAUCCCUGAAGCACAUUUCUACUAACAUAGGGGUCGAAAGACUCCAGGGGCGCGGGGAACGGCCAGCGGUAUAGUAACAACGAUCUGUAUGUAGGGCAAUUCGCAGCCAAGCACCCGAAUCCGAGUUGUGGAUAGGGUGAAGGUUCAACGACUAAACGGGGAUGGGCAUGGAUCACAACAUCCCUACAGGUAAUGUGAGUUGCUUAAGAUAUAAUCUACUCCCCGGGGAAACUCGGUG